GAAUGAGGGAUAUAGCAAUAUUAGGGGCCAACGAUAACAAACAUAUGAAAAAAUAAAUUAAACAUUUGUAGUUCCAUUUCUCUAAAAUUCUUCUUUUUUCUUUAAGAGGAUUGUAAAUUAAAAAUAUUUUAAUAAAAGGAGCUUCCCUUUGAAAUCAUGGUUCUUUUUGGCAUUCUUCAAAAUUUUCAAAUUAAAUUCUAAAAAUUUCUCACCAUCAUCAUUUUGUCACCAAUGGGGGCUUGAGGAUCCUGACUAGGGAGGAGGGUAGAGCAAGGAAUGAGAGGAUAGAGAGAGGGGAACAGAGAAAAAUGGAGGAUAUGGAGUAGAGAUAGGGGCCUUGAGAGAGAGGAGUGGAGCAGAGGAGAGAGAGCUACUACUAGAUUGGAUGAAAAGCAAAGAAUGGAAAUGGAGAGGAGAGAGGGAGAUGUGAAUCUCUAAGCAGAGAGAGAAAACAAUAGAGAUAGAAGAAAGGAGAAGGAAGGGAG
rnacentral:lncRNA from 1 species